rnacentral:lncRNA from 1 species
AACCAAGUUAGGUUGUGGAUAUCGUGGUUUAGAAAUGAUGGAUGGAAGCAAUGUGGUGGCUGCCGUAUGCUACAGAUCAGUCCAAAGCCCUGUAACAUUUGGAUGCUGUGCCCACGUGUAUGUGAAUUCAGGCGUUAGACCACCUUAUUCAGGGUGUGCUUUGAUCCUGGUUCUGUUACUGAGCUUAGGUUGCAUGCUGUACCCACAAACUCUGGUGGUCUCACUGAAAGGCAGAGUUUUAAGUUCUGUCCUGUAAAGCUUUAUCCAUUCUCCCGGGAUAGUACUUGGAAAAGAUGUUCUUCUUCAUGCAAUUUUGGGACACUGCCUGAAUGGCAUCCCUACAGCCAGGGGCUGCAGUAGUGGGAAGAAUUGGGUGGUGAAGCUCUGUUCCAGCAGGUUUCAAAGCCAGAAGCUCUGCGUAGACUGCUCAGUGCACUGCUUGAGCCCUGCUUGGGGAGCACCAAACCCAGCUCUGCUACACACCAGUGUGAGACCGGCAGCUGAAAGAAUAUGGGAUGCAACUGGAGUUCUGCAUGUGCCAACCUUCUAAAAUCCUGUAGGUUCUACAGGCUUCUACCAGUUCCACACAUAACAUUGUGAAAGGUUCCUCCAAGACCAGCCACAGCUCCCGUGUCUUCACUUCCUUAUGGGAAAGAACAAGGGUGUACCUUGCUUUUUGUGGCCUUUUCUGUCGGAUGAGGUUCUUGAGCUGAUAAUGCAGGAAACUGUCAGAUGUUGGGAAACCAGGUCACCCAGCAGUUUCAAGUGGACGUUUGUACACUUCUGCAAGAGAAAAUACAUCUCUGAGCAGACAUACUUCAGGGGAGGUUCUCAGAUCACAAGUAGUGGAGCAGAUGCGCUGAGAAGAGGCACUUUCAGUGGUGUGUGCGGCAGAUUCAGCAGAUCCAGCCUCCUAUUUCCUGUUCUUCCAGUAUCAUCUGUUACUCAUGACGGCAUUUUGUAUAUUGUCCUUACACAACUGGCAGAGAGGUCAAAGUAA